rfam:Exophiala oligosperma strain CBS 72588 unplaced genomic scaffold supercont1.7, whole genome shotgun sequence.
GGCCGACUGGCCCAAUGGCAAGGCGCUUGACUACGAUACACAAACGUGUGCAAUCAAGAGAUUGCAGGUUCGAUCCCUGCGUCGGUCA